UUGCUCUAUGUCCAUUGGAUG
rnacentral:miRNA from 1 species